rnacentral:rRNA from 1 species
UGGGGAAUUUUGGACAAUGGGCGCAAGCCUGAUCCAGCAAUGCCGCGUGCAGGAUGAAGGCCUUCGGGUUGUAAACUGCUUUUGUACGGAGCGAAAAGGUCUGCCCUAAUACAUGGGGCUAAUGACGGUACCGUAAGAAUAAGCACCGGCUAACUACGUGCCAGCAACCGCGGUAAUACGUAUGGUGCAAGCGUUAAUCGGAAUUACUGGGCGUAAAGCGUGCGCAGGCGGUGAUGUAAGACAGGUGUGAAAUCCCCGGGCUUAACCUGGGAAUUGCAUUUGUGACGGCAUCGCUGGAGUGCGGCAGAGGGGGAUGGAAUUCCGCGUGUAGCAGUGAGAUGCGUAGAAAUGCGGAGGAAAACCGAUGGCAAAGGCAAUCCCAUGGGCAUGCACUGACGCUCAUGAACGAAAGCGUGGGGAGCAAACA